UACAGAGGUCCCAAGCGUUACUGAGAAUCACUGGGUUUAAAGGGUGCGUAGGUGGUCCGUUAAGUCAGUUGUGAAAUCCCCGGGCUCAACCUGGGAAUUGCGGUUGAAACUGGCGAACUAGAAUCUGGCAGAGGGGGGUGGAAUUCCACGUGUAGCAGUGAAAUGCGUAGAGAUGUGGAGGAACACCGAUGGCGAAGGCAAUCCCCUGGGCCUGCACUGACGCUCAUGCACGAAAGCGUGGGGAGCAAACAGG
rnacentral:rRNA from 1 species